GGCCAAUAUCAGUGCUGUAUGCUUGUGCAUGCGCACGAUUACUACACAAAUCUCUAUGGAGAAUCCCGCAUGUCCGCAGGAGCCUCCAUAUUAUCUGGAGAUGGCCGGGGGAAGUGACAAAACAUGACGUUAGGAACUCUGCCUUUUGCCAAGCAGAGGAUUUACCAUAAGACAGAGUAGUACCUAAUUUGACUUAAAGGGACACUCUAGUCACCAGAUCAACUACAGCUUAUUGAAUUUGUUCUGGCGAGUAGAAUCAUUACCUCCAGGCUUUUUGCUGUAAGCACUGUCUUUUCAGAGAAACUGCAGUGUUUACACUACAGCCUAG